ACAUAAUUGGUACCUCUUUUAUCACUCAAACAUAAUUAUUGAACGUCAGGAAAUGGUCUUCAAAAACCUCUAAGGCGUCAUCUUUCCCAGCGGGUUUGGUUCACAGAGGCGUUUUUGGCCUAAGCUUUCCCCCUUUCAUACUUGCUGCCUGGUUUAAGCUUUGCUGGGGAUUGUAUUGUCCUUAUCACAAGAAACAACGUUUGUAAAGACCCACUAAGACAAUGCAAAGCUUUGGUGAAUGGAGUUUAAAGGGGUUUCAGCA